UACGAAGGUGGCAAGCGUUUGUUCGGAUUUACUGGGCGUACAGGGAGCGUAGGCGGUUGGGUAAGCCCUCCGUGAAAUCUCCGGGCCUAACCCGGAAAGUGCGGAGGGGACUGCUCGGCUAGAGGAUGGGAGAGGAGCGCGGAAUUCCCGGUGUAGCGGUGAAAUGCGUAGAGAUCGGGAGGAAGGCCGGUGGCGAAGGCGGCGCUCUGGAACAUUUCUGACGCUGAGGCUCGAAAAGCGUGGGGGAGCAAACAGGG
rnacentral:rRNA from 1 species